rnacentral:snoRNA from 1 species
ACAUUAAUGAUGACGUUAUGAAAUUUCAAAAUUGCACAUUUGUUAGAGCAGAAUGAAAAAUGUGUUGAAUCGAUUUUAUCUGAAAUUAUAG